UUUUUUUUUUUUUUUUUUUUUGGCCAAUAACAACUUUAGCCUCCACUUUAGUUAGUCUGUCCUCCUUCUAGAUAAAAUUUAUUGUGAUAUCCAAUCAUAGAAUUAGCCCCACUUCCUAUCCAGAGCAAAGCCCUGCUUCCUUAAACCACCCCCCAAAUCACUGAACACAAGCCCCAAUCCUAUAAUAAGUUCUAACUCCCUUUUACUGAGAUGCCCCAUGGUUCCCCACAGUGUACACCCUCCCUUGUUGCAAUGGACAAUAAACCCAACUUGUUCAACCACCCAUGUGUUCCUGGGGGGUUUUGGCUGGAGGAUUUUGACAGCACCUAGAGUUCGCUGCAAGCUCAAGGACUCUUUGGAACUCCAUCUCUGCAUGCCCCUAGUCCACAGACUCCUAAUUAAGUGGCCUUGAGUCUAGAGCAUCAGUAAUACCAUUAAACAGAUGGAGAAACCGAAGUCUAGACAGAUUGACUUCUUCAAAGUCCCAUCAUAAGCUAGCAGCUGGAUAGGAACUGGAAACUGUGGCUGCUGGUCCCAAGGUGAGGUAUGUCCAGCAGACAUAGAACCCGUCCCCAAGCUCACCUCGGCUACAACAGUGUUCUCCCUGCACAGGCCACAGAACUACCUGGCAAGAUACGCACAUGCUCAUCUCUGAAGGAUGGCCUCAUUCUCUCCCUGCCCUGCCAUUCUCUCUGUAGAAUGGGGCAGUGAGAUCCCAGGCUGAGGUGAGGGAUAAAGGAACCCCCACACCGGGGCUACCGUCAAGAAGGCUCAUGCACUGAGGUCUCAGCUUAAAGGAGCCUCAUCUUCCCUGUCCAGCUGCUGUGUCCUGGAGUGUGCACCCUCACAGACCCUGUCACCAGGAGCACCUCAUUCCCAUCUCUCAAUUUCCCUCUGCAUUUGCCCAGGUCAGGAGAGCGACCUGGAACCCCCCUCCCUUCCUUUCUUGACCUUGAGCUCUCAUAAUUUUUCUUUGAGAUCUAGUGUGGGGCCAGGCAUGGUGGCUCACACUUGUAAUCCCAGCACUCUGUGAUAUGGCAGGAUGGCUUGAGGCCAGGAGUUCAGGAACAGGCUGGGCAACAUAGCAAGACCCCAUCUCUAGAAAAGAAUUUUCUUUUUUUGAGACUGAGUCUUGCUCUGUUGCCCAGGCUGGAAUGCAGUGGUGAUCUCAGCUCACUGCAAUCUUUGCCUCCUGGAUUCAAGCAAUUCUUCUACCUCAGCCUCCUGAAGUAGCUGGGAUUACAGGUGCCUGCCACCACGCCCAGCUAAUCUUUUUGUAUUUUUAGUAGAGACAGUGUUUCGCCAUAUUGGCCAGCCUGGUCUCGAACUCAUGACCUCAGGUGAUCCAUCCACCUCGGCCUCCCAAAGUGCUGGGUUACAGGCGUGAGCCACCACUCCCAGUCUUUAUUUAUUUAUUUAUUUUGAGACGGAGUUUCGCUCUUGUAGCCCACAAUGGUGCGAUCUCGGCUCACUGCAACCUCCGCCUCCCGAUUCUCCUGCCUUAGCCUCCAGAGUAGCUGGGAUUACAAGCGUGCGCCACUACGCCAGGCUAAUUUUUGUAUUUUUAGUAGCGACGGGGUUUCACCAUGUUGGCCAGGCUGGUCUCGAACUCCUGACCUCAAGCGAUCCUCCUACCCUUGGCCUCCCAAAGUGCUGGGAUUAUAGGAGUGAGCCACCAAGCCUGGCCCUUAAGAGCUUUAUAAAUGCCCCCCCUUUUAAGUGCUCCAUACUAGCCUCCCUCUAGUUCACAGAGAACAUUUACUAGUCGCUGGGGUCACCUUCGAAGCAAAGAGUCUGCUGGGGAAUUAAGCAUGCAAAUCACUUCUCAACGACGACAGGCCAAGUACUCACAGCUCGUCCCCAGGGGAAGCACAGGAGCCUAAUUUGUGUUCCUAGGUGACACAGUCAUUACUUAUAAAUGUUCCUGGCCGGCCGGUCCCAGGAGGUGGGGAGGGUUGGGAGUUACUUCGGUUCUUUCAAAGGUUGGAGAAGGAGAGAUCUCGGUUUGUUUUCCCAUCUGUGAAACAGGGACACCACGGUAUUUAGAGGACUUGCGCGGGUGACUAUUUCGGGGUGCAACGGCUUCCCUCCUCCCACCCCCAUCCUUCCCUUCUCACUUCCAAGGCUUGGAAAUUUGGAGAUUCGGAAGUUUGUUCUUGGAUGGCCAGAAAUCCUCCAGAUGCAAACGGUCUGGGGCUGGAACCGCCACAGGCCGGAAAGGUGCGGGCGUGAACGUCCUGCGCGCCGACGUCCCCCGCGCCC
ensembl:lncRNA